UUACGGUCAAAUCACGCUGAAAACACCGGUUCUCGUUCGAUCACCGAAGUUAAGCAUCGUAGAGCCAGGUUCAGUUUUAGGGUUAUCGUGGAAUGAUAACUUAGAUGGGGACCGCUUUCGGGAACACCUGGUACUGUAAG